rnacentral:misc_RNA from 1 species
GAUAAAGAACGUAGCGAAAUGCGAUAAGUAAUGUGAAUUGCAGAAUUCAGUGAAUCAUCGAAUCUUUGAACGCACAUUGCGCCCGGUAGUAUUCUGCCGGGCAUGCCUGUUCGAGCGUCAUUUCAACCAUCAAGCCCCAGCGCUUGUGUUGGGGGCCUGCGGCUGCCGCAGCCCCCCAAAAGCAGUGGCGGGCUCGCUAUCACACCGAGUGCAGUAGUUCAUCUUCUCUCCGGUCUUGUGAGGCGGGUUCCGGCCGUGAAACACCCCACUACAUUCAAGGUUGACCUCGGAUCAGGUAGGAAUACCCGCUGAACUUAAGCAUAUCAAUAAGCGGAGGA